rnacentral:rRNA from 1 species
AUUGAACGCUAGCGGCAGGCCUAACACAUUCAAGUCGUGCGAGCGGCGGACUGGUGAGUAAUGUAUGGGGAUCUGCCUGAUGGAGGGGGAUAACUACUGGAACCGGUACCUAAUACCGCAUACCAUCAGAUGAACCCAUAUGGGAUUAGCUUGUAGGUAAGGUAACGGCUUACCUAGGCGACGAUCCCUAGUCGGUCUGAGAGGAUGACCAGCCACACUGGGACUGAGACACGGCCCAGACUCCUACGGGAGGCAGCAGUGGGGAAUAUUGCACAAUGGGCGCAAGCCUGAUGCAGCCAUGCCGCGUGUAUGAAGAAGGCCUUCGGGUUGUAAAGUACUUUCAGUCGGGAGGCGUUACCGACAGAAGAAGCACCGGCUAACUCCGUGCCAGCAGCCGCGGUAAUUC